AGCGAACGCUGGCGGCAGGCUUAACACAUGCAAGUCGAACGGACCCUUCGGGGUUAGUGGCGGACGGGUGAGUAACACGUGGGAACGUGCCUUUAGGUUCGGAACAACACAGGGAAACUUGUGCUAAUACCGGAUGUGCCCUUCGGGGGAAAGAUUUAUCGCCUUUAGAGCGGCCCGCGUCUGAUUAGCUAGUUGGUGGGGUAAAGGCCUACCAAGGCGACGAUCAGUAGCUGGUCUGAGAGGAUGGCCAGCCACAUUGGGACUGAGACACGGCCCAAACUCCUACGGGAGGCAGCAGUGGGGAAUCUUGCGCAAUGGGCGAAAGCCUGACGCAGCCAUGCCGCGUGAAUGAUGAAGGUCUUAGGAUUGUAAAAUUCUUUCACCGGGGACGAUAAUGACGGUACCCGGAGAAGAAGCCCCGGCUAACUUCGUGCCAGCCGCCGCGGUAA
rnacentral:rRNA from 1 species